ACCUCGUAAGUUAAAAAUGUGUUGGAGGUUAAGCAAGUGUCCGACAGGGUGAUGAGUGUGAAGUUGGAAAUUGAAGGGGCGAUGAUGAAUAUCAUCAGUGCAUAUGCCCCACAGGUAGGGUGCAAGAUGAAGCAGAAAGAAGAUUUCUAGAGUGAGUUAGAUGAGGUGGUGGAGAGUGUGCCCAAGCAUGAAGGAGUGGUGACUGGAGCAGACUUCAAUG